rnacentral:rRNA from 1 species
GACGAACGCUGGCGGCGUGCCUAAUACAUGCAAGUUGAGCGCUGAAGGUUGGUCCUUGUGCCAACUGGAUGAGCAGCGCACGGGUGAGUAACGCGUGGGGAAUCUGCCUUUGAGCGGGGGACAACAUUUGGAAACGAAUGCUAAUACCGCAUAAAAACUUUAAACACAAGUUUUAAGUUUGAAAGAUGCCAUUGCAUCACUCAAAGAUGAUCCCGCGUUGUAUUAGCUAGUUGGUGAGGUAAAGGCUCACCAAGGCGAUGAUACAUAGCCGACCUGAGAGGGUGAUCGGCCACAUUGGGACUGAGACACGGCCCAAACUCCUACGGGAGGCAGCAGUAGGGAAUCUUCGGCAAUGGACGAAAGUCUGACCGAGCAACGCCGCGGGAGUGAAGAAGGUUUUUGGAUCGUAAAACUCUGUUGGUAGAGAAGAACGUUGGUGAGAGUGGAAAGCUCAUCAAGUGACGGUAACUACCCAGAAAGGGACGGCUAACUACGUG